rnacentral:ncRNA from 1 species
AAAGACUUAGUCCUAACCUUACUAUUGAUUUUUGCUAGACAUAUACAUGCAAGUAUCUGCGCUCCAGUGAAAAUGCCCUUAUAACUUUAAACAAGCAAAAGGAGCAGGUAUCAGGCCCACCCAAGCGUAGCCCAAGACACCUUGCCAAAGCCACACCCCCACGGGUAUUCAGCAGUAAUUAACCUUAAGCAAUAAGUGUAAACUUGACUUAGCCAUAGCAAUCUUAGGGUUGGUAAAUCUUGUGCCAGCCACCGCGGUCAUACAAGAAACCCAAAUCAAUAGUCGCCCGGCGUAAAGAGUGGCCAUAUGUUAUCUCCAACGACUAAGAUCAAAAUGUAACUAAGCUGUCAUAAGCCCAGGAUCCACUUAAGGCCCCUCAUCUUAGCUGCAUGAUUAAUUUAAGCCCACGAAAGCCAGGGUACAAACUGGGAUUAGAUACCCCACUAUGCCUGGCCCUUAAUCUAGAUACCUAUAUACCCUUGUAUCCGCCUGAGAACUACGAGCACAAACGCUUAAAACUCUAAGGACUUGGCGGUGCCCUAAACCCACCUAGAGGAGCCUGUUCUAUAAUCGAUAAUCCACGAUUCACCCAACCACCCCUUGCCCAAACAGCCUACAUACCGCCGUCGCCAGCCCACCUAAAUGAAAGACCAAAAGUGAGCUCAAUAGUCCCCGCUAACAAGACAGGUCAAGGUAUAGCCCAUGGGGUGGAAGAAAUGGGCUACAUUUUCUAAUAUAGAAUAGAACGAAAAAGGACGUGAAACCUAGUCCUUGGAAGGAGGAUUUAGCAGUAAAAUAGGAUCAUACUUUUCAAGCCUAUUUUAAGAUGGCCCUGGGGCACGUACAUACCGCCCGUCACCCUCUUCAUAGGCCACAAACAACAAUAAAUAAUACUUCCCAUAAAGCCAAAGACGAGGUAAGUCGUAACAAGGUAAGCGUACCGGAAGGUGCGCUUAGACUAU